rnacentral:rRNA from 1 species
CCUACGGGAGGCAGCAGUGGGGAAUAUUGGGCAAUGGGCGCAAGCCUGACCCAGCAACGCCGCGUGAAGGAAGAAGGCUUUCGGGUUGUAAACUUCUUUUCUCAGGGACGAAGCAAGUGACGGUACCUGAGGAAUAAGCCACGGCUAACUACGUGCCAGCAGCCGCGGUAAUACGUAGGUGGCAAGCGUUAUCCGGAUUUACUGGGUGUAAAGGGCGUGUAGGCGGGAAAGCAAGUCAGAUGUGAAAACCAUGGGCUCAACCUGUGGCCUGCAUUUGAAACUGUUUUUCUUGAGUACUGGGGAGGCAGACGGAAUUCGUGGUGUAGCGGUGAAAUGCGUAGAUAUUAGGAGGAACACCAGUGGCGAAGGCGGUCUGCUGGACAGCAACUGACGCUGAGGCGCGAAAGCGUGGGGAGCAAACAGGAUUAGAUACCCGAGUAGUC